rnacentral:rRNA from 1 species
AACGCUAGCUACAGGCUUAACACAUGCAAGUCGAGGGGCAUCAGGAAGAAAGCUUGCUUUCUUUGCUGGCGACCGGCGCACGGGUGAGUAACACGUAUCCAACCUGCCCUUUACUCGGGGAUAGCCUUUCGAAAGAAAGAUUAAUACCCGAUAGCAUAAUGAUUCCGCAUGGUUUCAUUAUUAAAGGAUUCCGGUAAAGGAUGGGGAUGCGUCCCAUUAGGUUGUUGGUGAGGUAACGGCCCACCAAGCCUUCGAUGGAUAGGGGUUCUGAGAGGAAGGUCCCCCACAUUGGAACUGAGACACGGUCCAAACUCCUACGGGAGGCAGCAGUGAGGAAUAUUGGUCAAUGGGCGCUAGCCUGAACCAGCCAAGUAGCGUGAAGGAUGAAGGCUCUAUGGGUCGUAAACUUCUUUUAUAUAAGAAUAAAGUGCAGUAUGUAUACUGUUUUGUAUGUAUUAUAUGAAUAAGGAUCGGCUAACUCCGUGCCAGCAGCCGCGGUAAUACGGAGGAUCCGAGCGUUAUCCGGAUUUAUUGGGUUUAAAGGGAGCGUAGGUGGACUGGUAAGUCAGUUGUGAAAGUUUGCGGCCCAACCGUAAAAUUGCAGUUGAUACUGUCAGUCUUGAGUACAGUAGAGGUGGGCGGAAUUCGUGGUGUAGCGGUGAAAUGCUUAGAUAUCACGAAGAACUCCGAUUGCGAAGGCAGCUCACUGGACUGCAACUGACACUGAUGCUCGAAAGUGUGGGUAUCAAACAGGAUUAGAUACCCUGGUAGUCCACACAGUAAACGAUGAAUACUCGCUGUUUGCGAUAUACAGUAAGCGGCCAAGCGAAAGCAUUAAGUAUUCCACCUGGGGAGUACGCCGGCAACGGUGAAACUCAAAGGAAUUGACGGGGGCCCGCACAAGCGGAGGAACAUGUGGUUUAAUUCGAUGAUACGCGAGGAACCUUACCCGGGCUUAAAUUGCAGUGGAAUGAUGUGGAAACAUGUCAGUGAGCAAUCACCGCUGUGAAGGUGCUGCAUGGUUGUCGUCAGCUCGUGCCGUGAGGUGUCGGCUUAAGUGCCAUAACGAGCGCAACCCUUAUCUUUAGUUACUAACAGGUUAUGCUGAGGACUCUGGAGAGACUGCCGUCGUAAGAUGUGAGGAAGGUGGGGAUGACGUCAAAUCAGCACGGCCCUUACGUCCGGGGCUACACACGUGUUACAAUGGGGGGUACAGAAGGCAGCUAGCGGGUGACCGUAUGCUAAUCCCAAAAGCCUCUCUCAGUUCGGAUCGAAGUCUGCAACCCGACUUCGUGAAGCUGGAUUCGCUAGUAAUCGCGCAUCAGCCACGGCGCGGUGAAUACGUUCCCGGGCCUUGUACACACCGCCCGUCAAGCCAUGGGAGCCGGGGGUACCUGAAGUACGUAACCGCAAGGAUCGUCCUAGGGUAAAACUGGUGACUGGG